CCUACGGGAGGCAGCAGUGAGGAAUAUUGGUCAAUGGUCGGGAGACUGAACCAGCCAAGCCGCGUGAGGGAUGAAGGUACAGAGUAUCGUAAACCUCUUUUGUCAGGGAACAAAGGCGGGGACGUGUCCCCGGAUGAGUGUACCUGAAGAAAAAGCAUCGGCUAACUCAGUGCCAGCAGCCGCGGUAAUACGGAGGAUGCGAGCGUUAUCCGGAUUUAUUGGGUUAAAAGGGUGCGCAGGCGGUCUGUUAAGUCAGCGGUCAAAGCCCGGGGCUCAACCCCGGCCCGCCGUUGAAACUGGCAGUCUUGAGUUGGAGAGAAGUAUGCGGAAUGCGCGGUGUAGCGGUGAAAUGCAUAGAUAUCGCGCAGAACUCCGAUUGCGAAGGCAGCAUGCCGGCUCCACACUGACGCUGAGGCACGAAAGCGUGGGUAUCGAACAGGAUUAGAUACCCCUGUAGUC
rnacentral:rRNA from 1 species